rnacentral:misc_RNA from 1 species
UCUUCGGAGGUGAACCUGCGGAGGGAUUAUUACUGAGUGAGGGCUUCGGUCCGACCUCCAACCCUUUGUGAACCAAAACUUGUUGCUUCGGGGGCGACCCUGCCGCUUCGGCGGUGCGGCGCCCCCGGAGGCCAUUAAACACUGCAUCAGUGCGUCGGAGUUAAUGUAAAUUAAACAAAACUUUCAACAACGGAUCUCUUGGUUCCAGCAUCGAUGAAGAACGCAGC